CGGUUUGUCGCGUCGGGAGUGAAAACAGCGGGCUUAACUCGUUGCUUGCUUCCGAUACGGGCAGACUAGAGGUAUGCAGGGGAGAAUGGAAUUCCUGGUGUAGCGGUGAAAUGCGCAGAUAUCAGGAGGAACACCGGUGGCGAAGGCGGUUCUCUGGGCAUUACCUGACGCUGAGGAGCGAAAGUGUGGGGAGC
rnacentral:rRNA from 1 species